GAGUUUGAUCAUGGCUCAGAUUGAACGCUGGCGGCAGGCUUAACACAUGCAAGUCGAACGGUAACAGAACUAGCUUGCUAGUUGCUGACGAGUGGCGGACGGGUGAGUAACGCGUAGGAAUCUACCGAGUAGUGGGGGACAACAGUUGGAAACGACUGCUAAUACCGCAUAAUCCCUGAGGGGGAAAGGAGGGGAUCUGUUUACAGACCUUUCGCUAUUUGAUGAGCCUGCGUGAGAUUAGCUAGUUGGUGAGGUAAUGGCUCACCAAGGCGACGAUCUCUAGCUGGUCUGAGAGGAUGAUCAGCCACAUUGGGACUGAGACACGGUCCAGACUCCUACGGGAGGCAGCAGUGGGGAAUAUUGCACAAUGGGGGAAACCCUGAUGCAGCCAUGCCGCGUGUGUGAUGAAGGCCCUAGGGUCGUAAAGCACUUUCGCCAGAGAUGAUAAUGACAGUAUCUGGUAAAGAAACCCCGGCUAACUCCGUGCCAGCAGCCGCGGUAAUACGGAGGGGGUUAGCGUUGUUCGGAAUUACUGGGCGUAAAGCGCACGUAGGCGGAUUAGUAAGUUAGAGGUGAAAUCCCAGGGCUCAACCCUGGAACUGCCUUUAAUACUGCUAGUCUUGAGUUCGAGAGAGGUAAGUGGAAUUCCGAGUGUAGAGGUGAAAUUCGUAGAUAUUCGGAGGAACACCAGUGGCGAAGGCGGCUUACUGGCUCGAUACUGACGCUGAGGUGCGAAAGUGUGGGGAGCAAACAGGAUUAGAUACCCUGGUAGUCCACGCCGUAAACGAUCAUCACUCGCUGUUGGCGAUAUACUGUCAGCGGCCAAGCGAAAGUAUUAAGUGAUGCACCUGGGGAGUACGCCGGCAACGGUGAAACUCAAAGGAAUUGACGGGGGCCCGCACAAGCGGUGGAGCAUGUGGCUUAAUUCGAUGAUACGCGAGGAACCUUACCAGGGCUUAAAUGUAGUUUGACCGGCUUAGAAAUAGGCUUUCUCUUCGGAGCAAAUUACAAGGUGCUGCAUGGUUGUCGUCAGCUCGUGCCGUGAGGUGUUAGGUUAAGUCCUGCAACGAGCGCAACCCCUAUUCUUAGUUGCCAGCGGUUCGGCCGGGGACUCUAAGAAGACUGCCAGCGCAAGCUGAGAGGAAGGUGGGGAUGACGUCAAAUCAUCACGGCCCUUACGUCCAGGGCUACACACGUGCUACAAUGGUGAGUACAGAUGGUUGCUGCUUGGUGACAAGUUUGCUAAUCUAUAAAACUCAUCUCAGUUCGGAUUGGAGUCUGAAACUCGACUCCAUGAAGUUGGAAUCGCUAGUAAUCGCGUAUCAGCCAUGAUGCGGUGAAUACGUUCCCGGGCCUUGUACACACCGCCCGUCAAGCCAUGGAAGUUGGGAGUGCCUAAAGUCGGAAACCAUAUAGGAUCCGCCUAGGGUAAAACCGAUAACUAGGGCUAAGUCGUAACAAGGUAACC
rnacentral:rRNA from 1 species